rnacentral:rRNA from 1 species
AUGGACACCAACGCCGGCUCCUUCGUCGCCGUCCGGCGGCUCGCUGGCUCCGACCGAGCGGCCGGCGCCGUCGCGUUCCAUCACUCGUCCUCAGCGGAGGUCGUGACCGGGUCGACGGCGUGGAUAGGGAGGGGGCUCUCCUGCGUCUGUGUGCAGAGUAGAGACAGCGACGCCCGCCUUUCUUUCGAUUUGACUCCCGUUCAGGAAGAGUGCCUACUGAGGUUACAGAACCGGAUAGAAAUUCAGUAUGAUAGUUCAAACAUAGAGCAUCAGGAAGAACUGAAGGCCCUUUGGUGCGCCUCCUUUCCUGGAACUGAGCUUAGGGGCCUAAUAUCGGAACAAUGGAAAGAGAUGGGCUGGCAAGGGAAAGAUCCAUCCACGGAUUUUAGAGGUGGAGGCUUUAUCUCCUUGGAGAAUUUAUUAUUCUUUGCCAGGAACUACCCGAAAUCUUUUCAGGAACUUCUUUGUAAGCAGAAUGGUGACCGUGCAAUUUGGGAGUAUCCAUUUGCGGUAGCUGGUGUAAAUAUAACAUUCAUGCUCAUUCAGAUGCUUGAUCUACAAGCAGUCAAACCAAGGUCAUUGUUGGGAGCUGUUUUCCUAAAGCUACUUUCAGAAAAUGAUCGAGCCUUUGAUAUCCUGUACUGCAUAACCUUCAAGCUGAUGGAUCAGCAAUGGCUUGACAUGCAUGCUACUUACAUGGACUUCAAUACAGUCAUGAAAUCCACACGACGCCAGCUAGAAAGGGAGCUGUUGAUUGAAGAUAUUCAGCGGGUUGAGGAUAUGCCAUCGUACAAGCUUCUAGCCCGCUAG